UACGAAGGAGGCUAGCGUUGCUCGGAAUUACUGGGCGUAAAGCGCACGUAGGCGGUCUUUUAAGUCGGGGGUGAAAUCCUGGAGCUCAACUCCAGAACUGCCUUCGAUACUGGAAGACUCGAGUCCGGGAGAGGUGAGUGGAACUGCGAGUGUAGAGGUGAAAUUCGUAGAUAUUCGCAAGAACACCAGUGGCGAAGGCGGCUCACUGGCCCGGUACUGACGCUGAGGUGCGAAAGCGUGGGGAGCAAACAGG
rnacentral:rRNA from 1 species